AGACAAUUUGGGUUAACCCUGGAUGCUAAACAGCAAAACAGAGAAUUAUGGUUAAACCUGGCAAUGCUGGGACAGCCAUGCCUACUGUGCAUGACAAUGGGUGACCGUUAUUUAAAUUUUUAUUUUUUCAACUUCACCUUACUAUAAAUAAGAUGUAUUUUGUUUUUUUGUUUUUAUUUUAGGUGAAAAGGGAGUGAGAAUUGAACUUAAAGCGUCUGACUCUGCUUUGAAAGAUGUUUUUUAAAGACUUUCUGAUGGUAGAAUUUUUUUUCCCUCAAGAAUUCUAAUUUUGCAGAAUGUAUUUGCCACAAAGAAAGCAACAAACAAUGGCUUUCAUGUUAUCUUGUAAAUGUGAAUAUGUGGAAGAAUUAAGUUAAUUUUGUGUUUUUGUUUAAUGUUUAAUCUUGUUGUAUCUUGUGUACAAAUUAGAAUGCCAAUACUACAGUGCUGUUAAUGUUUUAUGAAUAAUUUGAGCAAAGAAAAUGUUCACUCAUAUAUUUGACGUAAAUAUUCUAUAUUCUUAGACUUGUCAAGUAUUUAUUUUUUGAACAAAAAUUAUAUUAAUCCACACGUUUUGUAAUGUUGCAUGGGCAUCCUAAUAUAUGUUUAUUCUGUCAUAUUCACAACCACUACACUGUCUUUUUGUCUUUGCAUUUGAAAUUUUGAAACGGAGUAGUCAUCUGUGAAGAAAGAAAAAUCCUCUAUCACUCUUUAUAUUAUAACACUAGAAGUGUGCAGUAGUAGUUUUAGUGCCAUGAAUCCCCUGGCGAAAUCCCUGUAUAAGCUGUCAAACCAUUUAAAAAUGUAUUGACACUUGAACUGUUUGUCAGGCAGUCAUGGUCUGCCUUGCUAUGCUAAAAUGGGCAUUCCUGCUUCUGUAUUAGCAUACAACUUUUGGACAUCAUUCAUUGGCUAAGAGCAGUUGGCUGAUGCUCACAGUGAUUCUAUAUGUCCAAAGUUGUCUUUACUGUAUAAAUGCAGACUGGAAGGACUACAGUGCCCAACAGAGAAAGUGUCAAACCGAUGCGUAAACUGUUUAACUGUUUUCAAUAAAGUGACUCUCCAAUCACCAUAGCCAAUACUUGAUGCUGUAGUGGUUAUGGUGCCAGAAAUGCAUGAAUAAUGUUCAAAGUUGCACCACACCCAUGUAAGUAAUCAAACAGUUUCUUUCAUUGGCUGGGUGUCAGAGCACUCCCGUCCCUGUUCCUUUAAGAUAUCAUCUUGGCAUAAUGUUGAAAUAAUAAUACUUCAGUUAAUUAACCUAUUUAAAAAUAAUAAUAUACAUAUAGAGAGACAGAUAAUUGGCAUGAUGUAAUUGACAUAAUCGAUAAUAGUAAAUUCAUUUUUGUAAAGGACAUGACAAUUUUGUAUGCUCACUACUAUUAUUAGAGCAGUGGUGCCAAAUUCUAAUUUCUUAAAACCAUAUGCACACUUGACAUAUUGCUUAAAGUGCUAUUAUAAAAAUAAAAAUACUAUUAUAAAAAAACUGUCAAUAUCUACAAGAGUUUUAGGAUACUUCUAAGAUAGAGUUUGACAACCCUGUUUUAUAGUAAGUACAUCGACAUUGCUGCUUAAAAACUUUGCUGCUAAAUGGGGCUUGUAAAGUAUUAAUUUUUAGAGCAGUGUUUUUUUUUUUUUUUACCUUUCUAGCUAAAACAUUGAUGUAAGGGAAUAAUUUUGAGUAUGUAAGUAAGUAUGUACAUUUGAAGUGUCUACAUUGAAUUUUUCACUUUUUUUGCAAUAUGAAGAGUAACUGUUUCAUAACAUUAAACAAAUUAUAUGUUUAAAAAAACAACUAAAUACUAAUACUUUCUUGCCAUCCGAAAAGUGUAAAAGUGCUCUCUUUUGUUUUGUAUAAAAUAAACAAUAACUCAAUAACCUUAGACCAUGUUGUAACCAUUAGUUUGAAUAGAAAAUGUUUGCAGGGUAAUAUCCCUUUAUGUAUUUACUUUUUGAGGAACCAAAUGCAUUUAAAAAUGCACAAUAAGCUUGAGAAUAGUGAGAAUAGAAUAAAAAAGACCUCAUGAUUUAUUAUUUUUAUGAUACUAUUUAGUAUACAAUAAAUUGUUGUUUGUUUUUUGACCUUUGGUCUUUUUUACCUGUGCCUCAGAUACUCAUACAUUUUUUGGCUAUCAUGUAGCACAAGCACACGUUGCUCCCUCCUAAUCCUCUCUUCUUUAGGUACACUAUUCUCAAGCUUAUUGUCUAUUUCUACUAGGGGUCACCCCCCUGUUCUUAGUCUACCUUUUCUGGCUUUAUCCAAUUACUUUUCAUCAUUUAAAAAUGUAUUACUACUCAAAUUAAAUUAUAUUUUUAGUUUUUUUUCACGUAUUGUCUGGCAUUGCAUAAACUGUGUGAUAGCAAAUGUUUUUUAUGAGUAAUAGCAACGCAGAGGUAUACUUCUGUAAAUGUAUUAAAGUUACUGUUGG